UUUAGGAUAAUUUAAAAAAAAUUUUAAUUUUGGAGAUUAAAUUUAAGCUUUGCUUUUCUUAUGU
rnacentral:tRNA from 1 species